CGAUUGCGNAGGCAGCUUGCUGGACUGUAACUUACGCUGAGGCACGAAAGCGUGGGGAUCAAACAGGAUUAGAUACCCUGGUAGNCCACGCCGUAAACGAUGANUGCUAGCUGUUAGCGAUAUACUGUUAGCGGCACAGAGAAAUCGUUAAGCAUUCCACCUGGGGAGUACGCCGGCAACGGUGAAACUCAAAGGAAUUGACGGGGGCCCGCACAAGCGGAGGAACAUGUGGUUUAAUUCGAUGAUACGCGAGGAACCUUACCUGGGCUUAAAUUGCAGUGGAAUAACGUGGAAACAUGUUAGCCUUCGGGCCGCUGUGAAGGUGCUGCAUGGUUGUCGUCAGCUCGUGCCGUGAGGUGUCGGCUUAAGUGCCAUAACGAGCGCAACCCUCAUCGAUAGUUACUAACAGGUUAAGCUGAGGACUCUAUCGAGACUGCCGACGUAAGUCGUGAGGAAGGUGGGGAUGACGUCAAAUCAGCACGGCCCUUACGUCCAGGGCUACACACGUGUUACAAUGGGGGGUACAAAGGGCAGCUACCUGGCGACAGGAUGCUAAUCUCAAAAACCUCUCUCAGUUCGGAUUGGAGUCUGCAACCCGACUCCAUGAAGCUGGAUUCGCUAGUAAUCGCGCAUCAGCCACGGCGCGGUGAAUACGUUCCCGGGCCUUGUACACACCGCCCGUCAAGCCAUGGGAGCCGGGGGGACCUGAAGUAUGCAACCGUAAGGAGCGUCCUAGGGUAAAACUGGUGACUGGGGCU
rnacentral:rRNA from 1 species